CGUUACAAACGUCACAUCUUUGAUAUUUUGUUUUUAAAUAAUUAUUUUACCUUAUUUUCUUUAAUAUUUCAUUAAUAAUUAUCUUCUUCUAUUUGGUUUACCCAUUUUCCCCUUUAAAAAUCGGUUGGCGCUCUCUUUUAUUACCCUCUUUUAUUAUCUUCUAUUUAAUAUAUCUCUUUCAUUUAAAUCAUCAUACUGAACAUACCUCGUAUAUUCAUACUCUCCAAAUAUCUGUAUUUUCAAUACGGAACAUGCCGCUACUUCAUAGUACUUGGUUGUCAUUUUAAAUGUCGUUUUCAAUGACAGUGUCACUUCAUCGACUUGACCCCCUACUCCCUGACAUACACUGGAAGGGAAAAAUUAAUCCUUAAAAAGGCAUGUAAUUCGAAAAAUAAAUCAUUUCUAUUUCAUCAAAUCAUCUCUUGGGUUUUUUGGAAAGAAACCACUUUUCUCCCUCCGGGAGUUUCAACAACCCUCAAAUCGCCGGCGAUACAACAACGAGGACCAUGUCAUCAGGGCUGCAACCACAUAACCAAGACUGCAACGACCAACAUCCGUAGGCCUGGUGGAAUACAACACCUACAACCCCAGAGCCCGUUGCAGAACCAGCAGCAGUACCAUACGACAUCAAGAAGAUACCAUCAGCUGCCAAAAGCCAUAAGUGUAAUCCAGAAUUGUUAGUUUUUGGCAAGAAUUUGAAUACAUUUGUUAAUGCAAUUUACUAAGUCAUUUUAUUUAUUAUAUCUUUAUGAACAAUAAACAUGAUUAGUUAAAAACUAUGUUUUGUUUGCUUCCAUUCCAAUUUUCAUAGUUCAUAUCUGAGGUUAGGACAAGACGAACACACACCUGAGUGACUGAGCUAAGCUAAGGGUGUAACGAUGGCUAUCUUGGUUAGUUGAGGUAAUAUUUUCGAAUAUUAUUUCAAUUAGCUGGGUAGUCCAUCGCCUAACUCGUUACACUGGCGCACCAACGCACUUGUCUUAUCCGAAGAAUCGAGCUGUGAAUGUGUGGUUUGGUAGCAGACAACAAGCAUUAAUAAAUACUAUUUUCAUAUAUUUCAUUUUUAUAUUCAAUUUUUGCAGUAAAUCUAUAUAUAUUAUCUA